AAAUGCCUCAUCUUUGGCCAGAUGCUAAGUGAAAUUCUCCUUUGCUCACUCAAAGCUGAUUUUAAACUGGGGAAAGGUAAACACAGGUGUAAAGGAUUAGGCAGAAGAUGGGUCCACUGCAUUCUAGCUGAAUCUCCCUACCGGUGAGAUUUUCUCACUAGGUGUCUAAAUAAAUAAGCAGGCCUCAGUUACAUUAGGAAAAGAGAUUUCUCUCAUUAAUAUGACUCUGAUUUUGUGAAAUCAUAACCCCAGAAUUAUUAUGACAAAUAAUAUUUCAUACUUUGAGAACUGGUUUACUUUUCCAGAGCCACUAGUCAAGAUAGCUAUUUGCCGUCUAGAAAUUAGGCAACAGCUUUAUUUAGAUACCUUUUUAUGCAAAUCUUUCCAGCAGCCAGAUUGUUUUGUUCUUCUCGGCUAUCCUUGCAUUCUCCUACUUCCUCCUCCUUGAAGGCUUUUCCACACAUACCCCUCUGACCUAUCUAACACCUCUCCUUUUUCAGUCUCGAUUCCAAAAGGAAUCUGACCCUCAAAAGAAGAUUCAAUCUUCCUGACUUAUCUCAGUCUGAAAUAGUUCUUCCAUCUAGCAAUUGUCAUAUUUGACACAUGCAGCCAUUGACAUCAUUGGGAUUAAAUUACUAAUUUCCCUUAUGACUAUCUUCCAGACCAGAACGAAACAUGUAGGAAGACAAGAACUAUCCCUGCCAUUCUCAGUGUUAAAUUUGGAAAGGUGUUUGACUCAUAGCAGCUGCUCAAUGAAUACAUCUAACUGUUUUUUGAACAGUCUGAACUUGGUAUGUUGGGAGCUAACAUCAAAGAACUAUUUUCCCCCAUUCACAUGAGGACUGUGUCAAAUCUGCCUCCUAUCACUUAAGGAGGUUUUGGGAAAAUCAUUCACUUUCGUUUCUAUCACUUCCAGUAACUUAACAGUACGGCUCAGAUGUAAAACUCCCCUUUUACUUGUUCCUGUCACUUCAGCCCAAGCUUGUCUCAUGAUCUAAAAAUCUGUAAUAGGGAAGAGGGUGUGGUCUGAUCUUUCCCCUUCUAUUUUACCUCAUCUAGUUCCAGAUUCUCAAAUCAUAUAGGGCCAGGAGGAGAGGACCAAAUUAUGUCUUAGUUACCUGGCUGCUGGUGGUUGUCUCUGUUUUUUGUAGAGCACAGGUGUAACGGCUUUCAGGGUGGGGGUGGGGAACUCUCCACUGAGUAGUGUGCUGAUGUGGGAGAUCUCUGGCUUGGCCUCUUCCGGCCCUCCUCCCACUCAGCUCCCACCAAUGAUGUAUCAAUAAAACCUCUUGCUGCUGGAGAUCUGCUUACCUGGUGGCCAGGGUGGCAAGACAAGUGAAGCCUGACUAUGCCUGCAGCAUCCACUGUGGAAACUACUACAUCUUUGCCAUGCCAAACAGGUCUUGCUUUGUUUCCCAGGCAGGACUGGCAGUGGCUUUUCCCAGGUAUGAUCACAGCACACUGCAACCUCCACCUCCUGGCCUCAAGUGAUCUUCCUACCUCAGCCCUGGGAGUAGCUGGGACUACAGUGUAUGCCAUUGCGCCCAGCUUCUACUAACUUUUGAUGCAUAGACAGAUAUGAGGGGCUGGGGAACAUAAGAACCAGGCCUUGUGACUUCCAGAGAAGGCCGUUGUCUUGGUGUAAGAUAUUAGUUGUCCUUGAGGUAAAUUUGGCUUCACGGGCUUGUGACCUGUACAGUGACACGGGGCCCCAGGUCAGAAGGGCCUUGAACCUGGGUUAGUGCUCUGCUGCUGCUGACACUAUCUGGAAAUUCUUGAUAAUUUUCUCUUUCAGCUUCUGCUUAAGCAUGCAGGUGAGAAGGGAAGAUACAUGUAAUCUGCAUGUCUGCCACCAUUCCUUGUUACCCUUUUUCAUAUCCCAUGAGCACAGCACUCCAGCGGACCUACCCAAAAUAUGUGGGAGUUCAGUGAAACUCAAAGUAAGUGCAAAGUGGUCACGUUAUGGGAGCCACUGGCUUUCACAGAGUGUUGGGAGAAUGUGUAUGCAACAAGAAGUAAAAUAAAAAAGUUAAGUUGGGUUUUCGCAGCGUUUUCACACUUCCAAUAAGAACAAAAUAUAUAUGCAUGCAUGAGCCACGAAAUAGAAAUUGAGUAAUUGCAAUGAUCCCAAAUAUGAAUUAAAUAUUCUAUUUUCAUUUAAAACUAAUGUUUUAAAAUAUAGAAAGUAAAAUUCAUGAUAAUUUAAGUUUUUAAUUUGCCUUUACUUAGAACAGCAUUAAAUAGCAAGCAAAUAAAAAAAUACCAUCUCAAGUAGAGAGACUGUGGAAGAAAAGAAAAGGCUUAAUAUUUCAGUACUUUUAUUGGCACAUUUUCCUUGCUUUUUGAGCAAGGGGAGCCAACAUUUUCAUUUUGCACUGAGCCCCACAAAUUAUGUAUCUGGCACUGCCUUGAGGGAUGGGAGGAGCAGGGAACCGUUGGUGUCUGUGACCUGAGCCGUCUAAGGUGAGAUUUACCUCAGGUUUCCAGUAACUGGAAAUAAUACAAAUACAAUGUCCGCAGAGGCACGCUGGUUCCUCAGCAGCUGAGGAAUGUGCUUAUUUGUGACAGAAAGUGGCAUUUGUUUCCUUCUUACUGCUUGUUUAUCCCAUUCGCGCUCGCGCGUGUGUGUAUAUGUGUGUGUGUGUGUGUGUGUGUGUGUGCGCGUGAAAUUCCCCCCAAAACCCUCUUCUUCCACUGAGAAAAGUGAGGGGAAGGAAAAGGGUGCUGCUUACAGAAAGGGGAUGGAAAUGGUCCACCUGUAGGAUGCAGGAUACUCAGAGGUGAGUUUGGAUGGAACUGCAGGCUGCUCAGAGAUGAGUUCAGAUGGGGAUGCAGGCUGCUCAGAGGUGAGUUUGGAUGGGAUGCAGGCUGCUCAGAGGUGAGUUCAGAUGGGGAUGCAGGCUGCUCAGAGGUGAGUUUGGAUAGGGAUGCAGGCUGCUCAGGGGUGAGUUCGGAUGGGAUGCAGACUGCUCAGAAGUGAGUUUGGAUGGGGAUGCAGGCUGCUCAGAGGUGAUUUUGGAUGGGACUACAGGCUGGGCUCAGGGUGGGGGGUUUCUUCGGAAGCCCAGGCUGUCUUGUGGAAAAGACAAAACCCUACCUUUCUUAUCAUGCUUGUGCAAUGUAGGGCAGGCAGCUGCCUUCCAAACAAUGGCUCCGAUGCAGUUCCUUGCAUCAUAUAGCCAGACUUCCGAAGUCCUUCACUCCUGCCACAUCCAUGCCGCCCACUUUCUAUUGGACAGAUUUCAUCACAUGGCUCCAGCUAAACACAAAAGUAGCUGGGAAAAAGAGUUUUUUCACUCACCCAGGGGAAAAUGAGAAGGUUUGGCAAACACAUAGCACUGUAUCUGUCACCGAGGAGAUGGGGUGAGGAGGGAAGGGCCACGAGGGAGAUGGGGGAGGCUGGUCUGGUUUGAAAGGCAAGCAGUCUGUGGUGGGCAGUUUUCUGAAGGGGAAGUGCAUUCUGUAGUGACCCUUUCAGCUCCAGGCACAUGAGGAGACUUAGAGGAGGGGACAUUAAGCAAAAAUCCCAGGUGUUAUGUCAGUGGUGGGCCUGGGGGCGCCUACCUGCAUAUAGUGGACAACUCUGGUGAGAACACUGUGUCGAUCUGAUGGUUUUUUUGGAUCCAGUGAAACGACUAGGAGUUGAAGACUUGCCCACACAGUCAAUGGAAAAGAGGAGAGAGAAUUCAGCUCCCUAUGCGAGGCUUGUGGGGCAGGAAGGCUUCUUAUGAGAUAGAGCUGCAUCCUUCCUUCUGCGAGAGCAAGCCUGAACCUAUGUUUGCAGCAGACUUAAGGAGAGUGGUCCUCAGAGGGGUCAGAGCAAGCAUGCUUCUGGUCAGCCUAUACAGUCUCUGUCCUGGUGAGGAGCAUGAUCACCAACAGGCAAGAUCUUCUGGCCUUGAAGUUUCGCUUGAGUUAAAAGAGCUCAUCUCAGGUAAGUAACAGGCCAAGAAUGGUGGGCACCGUGACCACUAGCCAACUUGCAAUCCAUUCUACUCCAAAGGACCGGGCUGAAAGAGCAAGAAAACCCUAUAUGCUUAGGUAUCUUUAUCUUGACUAAUGUAUUGAGAAGGGGCAAGUGUACUGGACACUGGUGUGGGAGCUCACAGAGCAGGGAAAUUAAUUUCUUCCCUGAAUCCCAUCCUAUUUGGCUGGGACAUUCUUUUCCUCAAUCUCCCCAAACAUAAAGUAUAAAAAAUGCAGAAAUUCCUUAAAUAUCACUGGCUUACCUGGGCCCUGUGCUCAAAGGUUACCUCGACAUAUCUGUGGCCUGGGAAAGCAUUGCUCCCCUACUCUGGACAUCAACGAGGUAGGGUAGAUCUUCAGGUACAGACAGAUGACCACAUGAUACAAUGCACAGCUGACUUUAGAGAGAAAAGGACCACUUCCUUUCCUUGUUUCUCUACCCCACUAAGUAUCUGCACCAACUAGGAAGAAGAAGGGAAGAGAAAGGAAGACAGAAAAGGAAAGGAAAAGAAAAAGGAUGGAAGGAAAGCUUAGAUGCUGGGGUGGGGAAGGGCUGAGCUGGAGAAAAUAAAAAAAAGGAAUGAGUGAUACAGUAGGGAAAGGAGUUUGAGGGGGCUUUCUAGGAUAAUUUCGGUGACUAAAAAGUGACAGAUGGGUUUACCCUUCCAAAAAAAAUGGAUUUAUUAUUGCUUUUAUCCUCUCUUCGGAUGAACAGUCACACCCAUUUUAUAGAGGACAGGGAAUGUGCGUCUUCCUUUUUCUGGAUCUCAGGAUGUGAUAUUGAUAUGAGGGUGGUGUUGGAACCACCAGCCAAAUUGUGUUCUCAUGGUCAGAUACCACACUGUCACAGUGGGUCUGUGGUGGCAGAAGAGCAAGGCAUAUCAGGAGAGGCUGGUAGAGACAGGGCCAAUUAGUUAGGAAGAAUAAGGAAGAGCAUACACAGUCUCCGUAGUCCACAUGUGGGAGUAGAGAUAAAGAAAUCAGUGCAGUUAAGGAGGGUAGACAGAGCCCAGGAAGACCACAAAACAGCAACGUUCUCAGAGGCCAGAAUCCCUGAUGACUGGGCAUGACAGGGGUCACAGGUGAAUGUGAGCACCUCAGGUCUGAGUUAUUCUAGAAGAAUGUGUACGCUAGGGCUCAGGGAUCUGACUUCAGGAUUGUGGAGGGUAUCUGACUCUGGUAUUUCCCAGAGUGCUGGAGAUAUUGAUCCAAGUUUAUUAAGGGUCCCCAAAACUCUAAGAGACUGCGUCUCAUUUAGCUCCCGCUUACUAAGGACUUGUCAGCCACUGUGAUAGGCAGUUACGUGUCUUGUCUCAUUGAAUCCUUAGCACGAGAUAGGAACUGUUAUUUUGUCCUUUAUUUAGGAAGAACAUGACUUGGGGAAGCUAAGUAACUUGUUUAGCUAGUAAGUGACAGUCCUAGAAGUGACCCCAGGUAUGACUGACUCUAAAACCCAUGGCCUUAGCUGUCCCAUGCUAGCACCAGUGUAGGCCUGAUCUAGAGCCAGGUGUGACACUCAUGAGUGGAUCCUCCCAGGAGACAGGGGAAUCUGGCUUCCUAAGUUCAUCUAGGAACAUCAGGCUGGGGAGGAGAAGCUUCGCCUGAGGCUCAGGCUCUCACGCCUCCUCGACGGCCUCUCUCAGGCCCGUCUCCUCAGUCCCUCUUUCCCUGGCUGACUUUGGCGGUCUAAUGACCUCGGUCCCUCUUUCCUUGGCUGACUUCGGCUGUCUAAUGAAGCCCCUCUAGACAGCUGCUCGCCCACUUGCCCUUCCUUCUCCCUGCUCACCCUGAUGUUUCAGUCUACUCUAUGAUGACCCUGGCCUCAGAUGUUAGGACUAUGCUUUGUUAGAGCGGGAGAGGGAAGAGGAGUAUCAGAGAUCUCUCCCAAACGUCCUUUGCAGGUGAGAACACUGAGCCCCCACGAAGUUGAGGUAAGCUGGCUGGGAGGUGGUGGUAGAGCUGGUGGCAGAACCCACGUCUCCCAGCUCUCCCAGACACCUUAGGGAUUCACCACCACACUGUGCAAGGAGGCUGAAUAGGACCCCCAGCCUUUCUUUGUUCAAAACAACUCCAGUUACCCUGUGCCCCCCUCAGCUCCCAGGGAUCCUUCUUACCCAGGGUACAGGGUGGACUGAGGCAGACCGUGCCAUUCUUGCUGCUCACAGAAUUGCUGACUUGGCAAGUAUAACACCUGGAGUAAUUAUGUGGCAUAAGGGUGGUUUCAAGCACACUGUUCUGGAGCUCCUUUGGGAAGGGCCUUUUGUCCCCAUACCAGGUGUAGUUUACAGACUCGCCAGGUAUCACACAUGACAGUUUCAGAUAACAGUUGUCAUCCAUGUCUUCUAUCUUCUCAAUUUUGAUGACAGGCUUGGGUACAGGGUCUGAAAGUGAGGAGGAUGUUAUAAGAUGAGACAGUGAGGCAUUCAUGCUGUGAAGGUUUAGCCAACAAAGAACAAAGGGAUCCAGGGAAGGGGCCUGAAUGCCCCAGGAGGCAGAGUCAUGAAGAAGAAGUUCUACAGAGGGAGCCAGUGAGCAGCCUUGACCUCCUGAGGCCUCACAGACUCACUGCAAGAGCGGCUUCUAGGCAGUGAAGCUAAGCUGCGUCCUGGAGGGGGCGCCACAGUCCAUCAUAUGCUCUGGGAACAAAAUGGGGUUAUGAUCGUGUGUGAGCCUGAACGAACAGCCCAGAGACUUGCUGGGGUCAGACUUAGUAUAUCAACUGCCUGAGAUGCUCAGGGACCCUUCUCUAGCAACGGUUCAUGGCGGGCACCUUGGCUGGUCUGUCUUUCCAAUUAUCGGAUUCAGCUUCAGCAAGAGUCCUAAGGUAAGAGGUACCUGUCUGCGCGUGGCAAAGUCCUUUGCACAACCAUCCAGUGCAGGUGCCAGCCUUCUAGACUCUGGCAGAGCUACAGAGAAGAACUUCAUGUAACUUCCAGCCGCAUCAAUUGUGAUAAACAGAUUGGUCUGCUAACUUUGGUAUCUCCAUGUCUAGCACAAUCCCUGCCACAUGGCAGGUAUUCUAUAAGUAUCUCAUGAAAGGAUGAAUGAAGUAGUUAUGAGAUAGAAAGGAUAAAACACAGCCGGGUGCAGCGGCUCACACCUGUAAUCUCAGCAAUUUGGGAGGCUGAGGCAGGAGGAUUGCUUGCAGCCAGGAGUUAAGAGACCAGCCUGGGCAACAUUGAGAGACUCAGUUUCUAAAAAAAAAAAAGAAAGAAAAGAAAAGAAAAGUAGCCAGGUGUGGUGGUGUGCACUUUUAGUCCCUGCUACUCAGGAGGCUGAGGUAGGAGGAUUGCUGGAGCCCAGGAGUUCCAGGGUGCAAUAAACUAUGAUUAUACCACUGCACUCCAGCUUGGGUAAGGAGAAGACCUUCAAAAAAAAAAAAAAAAGAAGAAAGAAAGGAAGAAAGAGAGAGAGAAGGGAAGAGAAGAGAGGAAAAAGAAAAAGAAGGGAGGGAGGGAGGGAGGGAGGCAAGUAGACACAAAAACACUAGUUUUGGAGUGAGACCAGCCUGGGUCCUGGACUUGACUCUAGUGGAGUGACAUUAGGCAAGGUAGUUAACCCCCUUGCUGUCAUCUGUAAACUGACUCUACCUCAUCGCGCAAUGUUAGUAAGAUAAAACGUCACCUGUCAUGGAUAAUUGCUUUUUGAAGAGUGUAAGUAUUGCAUACAUUCUAGAGGCCAUUUUACCAUUAUUACUGUUGUACUGCUGCCGGAGAGAAUGAGAGAUAGUCCCAGCAUCUGGUCCUUCCUUGGCUAAGGCCGGUUUACCUGCAAUCCUCUGAGAUCUUUUCAUUCUGGUCAGGGUGAAACAUCUGCAGAAUCAAUGCAACUCAAAUCCCAUAAGAUUAAAAAUUGGCAGAGAAUUGACCAGAUCAGAGCUUGCCUCUUGGUUGUAUGUGUGGAGAGGCUCUAGAAGCUCUACCAAUCUGGUCUCUAGAACUCUAGUUUUGUCUCCUCUGUGAAGCUGAUCUCAGAUCGCUAAAAGAUUGCUCAGACUACAGAGGUGAUAAAAGUUUCCUGGACUUCCCCUAUAUGUUUUAAUUGAGCAAUUUUUAUCCUGGUUUUCACCAUUUCCUGUGUUCUAGCCUCAUAUCUUACACUCCUUCUGCAUUUCCCAUGGUGAUCAGCACAGCACUGGGCACUUUGCUGAUGGAAUUAAUUGAGCCAGCUUGGGUUGUCCAGCUCCAAGAUGCUCGCUUUGAGCUGUCAGAAAUGCUUGGGCUGGACCAGAGGACCAUUUUUUCUGCUAAUCACUUCCUGGAAAUCUUACCCUCAGGCAGGAUGUGCUGAAGCCCAAGCCAGUUUGUGGAUUUUUAAGUACUCAGAAAUUUUGCAAGCUUUUUGUGAAACCAUUAGUUUAUUGAAAUCAACUGUGGUAGCAGUAUUUAAACCACAGAAAUUACAAAGUUGGUAAAUGCUACGCUUUAGGGCUUUUUUUUUUUUUUUUAAAUCUUGU
rnacentral:lncRNA from 10 species